UUAAGCGACUAAGCGUACACGGUGGAUGCCCUGGCAGUCAGAGGCGAUGAAGGACGUGCUAAUCUGCGAAAAGCGUCGGUAAGGUGAUAUGAACCGUUAUAACCGGCGAUGUCCGAAUGGGGAAACCCAGUGCAAUUCGUUGCACUAUCGUUAACUGAAUACAUAGGUUAACGAGGCGAACCGGGGGAACUGAAACAUCUAAGUACCCCGAGGAAAAGAAAUCAACCGAGAUUCCCCCAGUAGCGGCGAGCGAACGGGGAGCAGCCCAGAGUCUGAAUCAGCUUGUGUGUUAGUGGAACGGUCUGGAAAGUCCGACGGUACAGGGUGAUAGUCCCGUACACCAAAAUGCACAGGUUGUGAACUCGAAGAGUAGGGCGGGACACGUGGUAUCCUGUCUGAAUAUGGGGGGACCAUCCUCCAAGGCUAAAUACUCCUGACUGACCGAUAGUGAACCAGUACCGUGAGGGAAAGGCGAAAAGAACCCCGGCGAGGGGAGUGAAAAAGAACCUGAAACCGUGUACGUACAAGCAGUGGGAGCACCUUCGGGUGUGACUGCGUACCUUUUGUAUAAUGGGUCAGCGACUUAUAUUCUGUAGCAAGGUUAACCGUAUAGGGGAGCCGCAGGGAAACCGAGUCUUAACUGGGCGUUAAGUUGCAGGGUAUAGACCCGAAACCCGGUGAUCUAGCCAUGGGCAGGUUGAAGGUUGGGUAACACUAACUGGAGGACCGAACCGACUAAUGUUGAAAAAUUAGCGGAUGACUUGUGGCUGGGGGUGAAAGGCCAAUCAAACCGGGAGAUAGCUGGUUCUCCCCGAAAGCUAUUUAGGUAGCGCCUCGUGAACUCAUCUUCGGGGGUAGAGCACUGUUUCGGCUAGGGGGUCAUCCCGACUUACCAACCCGAUGCAAACUACGAAUACCGAAGAAUGUUAUCACGGGAGACACACGGCGGGUGCUAACGUCCGUCGUGAAGAGGGAAACAACCCAGACCGCCAGCUAAGGUCCCAAAGUCAUGGUUAAGUGGGAAACGAUGUGGGAAGGCACAGACAGCCAGGAUGUUGGCUUAGAAGCAGCCAUCAUUUAAAGAAAGCGUAAUAGCUCACUGGUCGAGUCGGCCUGCGCGGAAGAUGUAACGGGGCUAAACCAUGCACCGAAGCUGCGGCAGCGACACUAUGUGUUGUUGGGUAGGGGAGCGUUCUGUAAGCCUGCGAAGGUGUGCUGUGAGGCAUGCUGGAGGUAUCAGAAGUGCGAAUGCUGACAUAAGUAACGAUAAAGCGGGUGAAAAGCCCGCUCGCCGGAAGACCAAGGGUUCCUGUCCAACGUUAAUCGGGGCAGGGUGAGUCGACCCCUAAGGCGAGGCCGAAAGGCGUAGUCGAUGGGAAACAGGUUAAUAUUCCUGUACUUGGUGUUACUGCGAAGGGGGGACGGAGAAGGCUAUGUUAGCCGGGCGACGGUUGUCCCGGUUUAAGCAUGUAGGCUGGUUAUCCAGGCAAAUCCGGAUAAUCAAGGCUGAGGUGUGAUGACGAGGCACUACGGUGCUGAAGUAACAAAUGCCCUGCUUCCAGGAAAAGCCUCUAAGCAUCAGGUAACAUCAAAUCGUACCCCAAACCGACACAGGUGGUCAGGUAGAGAAUACCAAGGCGCUUGAGAGAACUCGGGUGAAGGAACUAGGCAAAAUGGUGCCGUAACUUCGGGAGAAGGCACGCUGGUGUGUAGGUGAAGCCCCUGCGGGUGGAGCUGAGACCAGUCGAAGAUACCAGCUGGCUGCAACUGUUUAUUAAAAACACAGCACUGUGCAAACACGAAAGUGGACGUAUACGGUGUGACGCCUGCCCGGUGCCGGAAGGUUAAUUGAUGGGGUUAUCCGUAAGGAGAAGCUCUUGAUCGAAGCCCCGGUAAACGGCGGCCGUAACUAUAACGGUCCUAAGGUAGCGAAAUUCCUUGUCGGGUAAGUUCCGACCUGCACGAAUGGCGUAAUGAUGGCCAGGCUGUCUCCACCCGAGACUCAGUGAAAUUGAACUCGCUGUGAAGAUGCAGUGUACCCGCGGCAAGACGGAAAGACCCCGUGAACCUUUACUAUAGCUUGACACUGAACAUUGAGCCUUGAUGUGUAGGAUAGGUGGGAGGCUUUGAAGCGUGGACGCCAGUCUGCGUGGAGCCAACCUUGAAAUACCACCCUUUAAUGUUUGAUGUUCUAACGUUGGCCCCUUACCGGGGUUGCGGACAGUGUCUGGUGGGUAGUUUGACUGGGGCGGUCUCCUCCCAAAGCGUAACGGAGGAGCACGAAGGUUAGCUAAUCCUGGUCGGACAUCAGGAGGUUAGUGCAAUGGCAUAAGCUAGCUUGACUGCGAGCGUGACGGCGCGAGCAGGUGCGAAAGCAGGUCAUAGUGAUCCGGUGGUUCUGAAUGGAAGGGCCAUCGCUCAACGGAUAAAAGGUACUCCGGGGAUAACAGGCUGAUACCGCCCAAGAGUUCAUAUCGACGGCGGUGUUUGGCACCUCGAUGUCGGCUCAUCACAUCCUGGGGCUGAAGUAGGUCCCAAGGGUAUGGCUGUUCGCCAUUUAAAGUGGUACGCGAGCUGGGUUUAGAACGUCGUGAGACAGUUCGGUCCCUAUCUGCCGUGGGCGCUGGAGAAUUGAGGGGGGCUGCUCCUAGUACGAGAGGACCGGAGUGGACGCAUCACUGGUGUUCGGGUUGUCAUGCCAAUGGCACUGCCCGGUAGCUAAAUGCGGAAGAGAUAAGUGCUGAAAGCAUCUAAGCACGAAACUUGCCCCGAGAUGAGUUCUCCCUGAGACUUUAAGUCUCCUGAAGGAACGUUGAAGACGACGACGUUGAUAGGCCGGGUGUGUAAGCGCAGCGAUGCGUUGAGCUAACCGGUACUAAUGAACCGUGAGGCUUAACCUU
rnacentral:rRNA from 1 species